UACGUAGGGUGCGAGCGUUGUCCGGAAUUACUGGGCGUAAAGAGCGCGCAGGCGGUCGUUCAAGUCGAGUGUGAAAGCCCCCGGCUCAACUGGGGAGGGUCAUUCGAUACUGAUCGACUCGAAGGCGGGAGAGGGAAGUGGAAUUCCCGGUGUAGUGGUGAAAUGCGUAGAUAUCGGGAGGAACACCAGUGGCGAAGGCGGCUCACUGGCCCGGUACUGACGCUGAGGUGCGAAAGCGUGGGGAGCAAACAGG
rnacentral:rRNA from 1 species